rnacentral:rRNA from 1 species
CCUACGGGAGGCAGCAGUCGAGAAUCAUUCACAAUGGGGGAAACCCUGAUGGUGCGACGCCGCGUGGGGGAAUGAAGGUCUUCGGAUUGUAAACCCCUGUCAUGUGGGAGCAAAUUAAAAAGAUAGUACCACAAGAGGAAGAGACGGCUAACUCUGUGCCAGCAGCCGCGGUAAUACAGAGGUCUCAAGCGUUGUUCGGAAUCACUGGGCGUAAGGCGUGCGUAGGCUGUUUCGUAAGUCGUGUGUGAAAGGCGCGGGCUCAACCCGCGGACGGCACAUGAUACUGCGAGACUAGAGUAAUGGAGGGGGAACCGGAAUUCUCGGUGUAGCAGUGAAAUGCGUAGAUAUCGAGAGGAACACUCGUGGCGAAGGCGGGUUCCUGGACAGUAACUGACGCUGAGGCACGAAGGCCAGGGGAGCGAAAGGGAUUAGAUACCCCUGUAGUC